CACACACCGACUCCACAUUAACUUUAGUGACCUCCGACAUACGAAGCCGGGAGUCGUUACUGCCGACGUGAAUUACGAUCUUACUGUAUUUACGUUUAGCUUUAGCAGGCAGCUUCAGUUUGGAUUCGAUGUCGCCGGCUCUGGCCCCUGGAAUACAAUUGACUAUGGUCGCUGGUGUCGCUAACCUCACGUUUCUCAGAACCGAGUCACCAAUGACCAGAGUUUGCUUCUCAACGGGUGCGUCGCUGAGUGGAGAAAAUCUAUUUGAAACGUGAGCUGGUUGGUCUUUAAUCGUGGGCUUUUUAAAGAUAGCUCUAUGCCCCCUCCGGACAGUCACCCAGCCGCCCUGGGCUCCUGGCUGCUUGGGAGAAGUCGAGGGAGUGCUAGCUGGGGCUAAGCUAGGUGGCUCCGCGGCGGCUAGCGGGGGCUGGCUAACUACAGCUAACGGAGGUUCUAAGCUGCGGAGCCGAGCUUCUAAGUCGCUAAGCCUCGCCUCCAUCGCUACCAAUACACUACAUUUGUUACAUGUACCACUACUGUUAAAGGAGGCAGAGGAGUAAGUGAACAUUAGACACUCGGAGCAGGAGAGAGCAGGGGAGCAAGAGGGAGAGAGAGAUGCCAUCGCUUCUAUAUUAGACUACGAGGGUGAGCUCAAACAGAAGAAUCCGGUGACACGCAGAUGGAAAGACACAGAAUCGCUAAAGCACCAAAGAGUAGGGGUUGAUGGCCUGGGAAAACUAUGAAGAUAUUUAAAAACCUCCUCAGUGCAAGGUACUCCUUAGCAAAGCCCAGCGGAUUGGUCCAGUCUCUGAAAACCCUCAGGGCCGGUGGUGUAAAUGCCCCUUGCAGGAUCUGAGCACCUUCUUCCACAGGAUCAUCAACGAAUAGACAUGCCAUGAUGUGGAUCACACUGAUUCUUCUGGGGUUCUAUCUGCUUUUCAGAUGCACUGCUUAUGUAGCGCACUGUGUUCAUUGAUCGUUUAACUUUUAAAGUAUUUAUUUUUAAUUGUGCAGUAUGUGGAACUAACUUAAAACCAUGCUUGAUCAGGUCCUGAAGAAGUUACUCUGCUCAGGGGGACAUUUUAAACUAUUGUCUUUUAAACAACAUAGGCUGAAACUUUUGACAAUUUGGAAGCAAAGAAACUAGGCCCUUUAAACUGUGAUGGAUAGUUUGGGUCAUUAUCUUAUUCUUUUCUUAAUAAAAUAACUGACUGACCAGUUGGUUUGUUUGGAA